rnacentral:pre_miRNA from 1 species
AUAUAGAGCAAUCUCUGGCUUUCUGUAGGAAUAAAUUACUAUAAAGAAAUAUAUCCUAGAUAGUUUUCCCUUCAAAUCAAACACCUUGU